GCAUCGCUUUGUGGUCUCACGCACGGUUAACUCCACGGCUGCAGCCUUACCUUAGCCGGGACCGUUUGCGUCUUUUGACUCACGUAUGCGAUAGUGUCGCUAUCAAUCCAAUGUCAAAGAACCCGGAUCGACAUGUCUAGUCAUAACCCAAAGUAGCAGUACCGCACAAGGACAGGCAUACAUGACCCAUCAAAGCAGGUGUCGG
rnacentral:lncRNA from 1 species